CAUUUUAAAGUAUAUGGAGUAAACGAUCAAUAUGUACGAAAAAUUCCAAAGAGAUUGAUUAAUUAUAGUUCACGAAACUGGUGAACUUUAUUACAGCACGAAGAGAACUUGAGGAACAAGAUCCUGUUUCUAGGCAACAAGUAACGUUUGAGUUCAGACACUUUGCUUCUUACUUCAAAAUUACCACUACGUACAUAGCCAAGUUCCUACUUUCUAGUUCCCUUGUC
rnacentral:lncRNA from 1 species